rnacentral:rRNA from 1 species
UACGAAGGGGGCUAGCGUUGUUCGGAUUUACUGGGCGUAAAGCGCACGUAGGCGGAUCUUUAAGUCAGAGGUGAAAUCCCAAGGCUCAACCUUGGAACUGCCUUUGAUACUGGGGAUCUCGAGUUCGGGAGAGGUGAGUGGAACUGCGAGUGUAGAGGUGAAAUUCGUAGAUAUUCGCAAGAACACCAGUGGCGAAGGCGGCUCACUGGCCCGAUACUGACGCUGAGGCACGAAAGCGUGGGGAGCAAACAGG